rnacentral:rRNA from 1 species
UUUGACCGCUGGCGGGAGGCCUAACCCCUGCAAGUCGAGCGAGCGGCGGACGGGUGUUUAAUGUAUGGGGUCAGUUCGAUAGAGGGGGAUCACUACUGGAAACGGUAGCUAAUACCGCAUACUAUCGGAUAACCACUAUGGGAUUAGCGAGUAGGUGAGGUAAUGUCUCACCUAGGCGACGAUCCCUAGCUGGUCUGAGAGGAUGAUCAGCCACAGUGAGACUGGUACACGGCCCAGACUCCUACGGAGGGAGCAGUGGCGAAUAUUGCACAAUGGGCACGAGCCUGAUGCAGCCAUGCCGCGUGUAUUAAAAUGGCCCUAGGGUUGUAAGUUACUCUCAGUCUGGAGGCGUUACCCGCAGAAGAAGCACCGGCUAACACCGUGACAGCCGCCGCGGUUAUUC